UACGUAGGGGGCGAGCGUUGUCCGGAAUCAUUGGGCGUAAAGAGCGUGUAGGCGGUUCGGUAAGUCUGCCGUGAAAACCUGGGGCUCAACCCUGGGCGUGCGGUGGAAACUGUCGAGCUAGAGGAUGGUAGAGGGGAGUGGAAUUCCCGGUGUAGCGGUGAAAUGCGUAGAGAUCAGGAAGAACACCGGUGGCGAAAGCGGCAUCCUGGACCAUAACUGACGCUGAUCCGCGAAAGCUAGGGGAGCAAACGGG
rnacentral:rRNA from 1 species